rnacentral:rRNA from 1 species
GUUUGAUCCUGGCUCAGAACGAACGCUGGCGGCAUGCCUAACACAUGCAAGUCGAACGAUGCUUUCGGGCAUAGUGGCGCACGGGUGCGUAACGCGUGGGAAUCUGCCCUUGGGUCUGGGAUAACAGUUGGAAACGACUGCUAAUACCGGAUGAUAUCGCGAGAUCAAAGAUUUAUCGCCCGAGGAUGAGCCCGCGUAGGAUUAGCUAGUUGGUGGGGUAAAGGCCUACCAAGGCGACGAUCCUUAGCUGGUCUGAGAGGAUGAUCAGCCACACUGGGACUGAGACACGGCCCAGACUCCUACGGGAGGCAGCAGUGGGGAAUAUUGGACAAUGGGCGAAAGCCUGAUCCAGCAAUGCCGCGUGAGUGAUGAAGGCCUUAGGGUUGUAAAGCUCUUUUACCCGGGAUGAUAAUGACA